CCUGAACUCCUCAGCUAUUGGUCAUUUUAUGGUCACGCAACCCAGAGGUUCCGCAGUGCCAACUGGGAGAUUGUAGUCCUGAGUCUAAAGGCUCUCAGGCUACGGUGGCGCUGCUGCCGUGUAUAUUAUGGCCAGUUUGCAAGAUGUGAGGGAAACUUGUGCUUUAAAAUACUACAAGGGUGCUGGAGACCUGGCUAGGUUGUUGAAAGCACUAGUUGCUCUUGCAAAGGACCUGGGUUCAAGUACCAGUACCCACACUGUGGCUCACCAUCUGUAACUGCAGCUCCAGAGAAUCCAUGCCCUCCUCUGACCCCCCCCCCCCCCCAGCGCCGAUAUGAUGCACAAACAAAAACAUGCAGACAAAACAUUGACACUAAAAAGACUGCACAGUUGGACACAUCAAGACGGAGACAGAAGGAUCUUGUGAACCAUGAUUAUGUCUAACAAUGACCUUUGAAGUCUCCAAACGGAUGAUGGGGGCCCCACAAUGAUUCCACUGGACCUAUGGUAAUGCCACUAACCUGACAGACACCACCCAAAGAUCAGAUGAUUUGGACUACAAACAGCUCAAGACAAUUUCAUUCUUUCUUUUUUUUUUUUUUUUUUUUUUGGUUUUUUGAGACAGGGUUCCUCUGUGUAACAGCCCUGGCUGUCCUGGAACUCACUCUGUAGACCAGACUGGACUGGCCUCACAGGUGUACACUAGCACCACCCGGCUUUUUUCUUUUCUUUUUUUUUUUGGUGACAAGAUAUGUCUGCUCCUGGCAGCAUCAAUCUAUUUCAGUGAAGAUGAUGGGCAUCGAAGAAACUCCAUAGGGAGUUUACUUUCUUUGUGGCAAAAGUUAGCCGCUGGGCAAGAAACUGCCCUUGCCUUGACUGCUGACAGUAUGCUGUCCACAUUGGACAAGCAGGACACAUAAGAAAGCGAAUGCUAAAUUUUGCCAAGACAAGGCAGGACAGUCGUUCAAAAAUCCUGUUUUACAGAUAAGUCUGUCAGAUAUUCUAGACCUACAGGCUGAAGAUGGAUGCCCCAAUGUUAGAGGAACCUUGGGUGACUGUCCAGUCAGCUGUUUGUCAUUUCUUAGUUUUGGAAAUUGUUUGCUCUGCACUUCUUGUUUACACAGGUAAUAUUAUAUCCUUCUCAGGUCUCUGAUGGAGUUGAAGACUAGAUAGUUAUAGUUUUCCUUGUUACCAAAUUCAGAAAAGAAAUUCACAAAAGUUAUAAAGUGUAUAAGGUUGAGAGACAUAAAAAAUUUUGGGUUUGUAAUGCAAGUUAAGAUAGCAAGUGAAUUAGGUACAACCCUUUGGACUCACCAAGAUAGGAUUAGAUAAUGGAGUAUUUUUUCUGAAUUUGUCAAAUGCAAAUGGACUAGACAUUGUUAAUGUAAUUCUUGCCUGUAUAUAAUUGUAUAGUUAUUGUACUUAUUGCAUAUAGUUUUACUAUGUUAGUUAAAACCUUCACUUUUUGUUUAGACAAAAAGGGGGAAAUGUGUGAUAAUUUGAUUAUGUUCUGACAAAUAAAGCUUGCUUGGAGAACUGGAGAGAUGGCUCAGAGGUUAAGGGCACUGACUGCUCUUCCAGAGGUCCUGAGUUCAAUUCCCAGCACUCAUAUGGUGGCUCACAACCCUCUGUAAUAAGAUCUGGCACCCUCUUCUGUGUACAAAAUAAAUAAAUAAAUCUUUUUUUUUUUUUUAAAAAAAAAAGCUUGCUUGGAGCCAGAGGGCUGAGCUAGUCACUAGCUGACCAUAGAGGUUUGGAGGACUGUAGACAGAGAGGAGCCAGUAAGUAGUAAGGCAUGGUUGAGAAAGGAUCUUGGCCGUUUUGGAUGGAGGAAUGGAAGAGGUAGGAAGCAACUGGCAGGUACUCCCUGUUCUCUGAUCUUUCAGGUUCUUACCCCAAUAUUUUACUCCCAAUUUUUCACUGAUAAAGAUUAAUUAGAUUUAUACUUCACUGUGUGGUUGCUCAGAAUUGAACUCAGGACCCCUGGAAGAGCAGCCAGUGCUCUUAACCUCUGAGCCAUCUCUCCAGCUCUAAAAGGUUUAUUUUUAUGUGUGAGUGUUUUGCCUGCAUGUAUGUAAGUGCGCCAUGUGUGUAUCUGGUACCUGGAGUUCAGAAGAGGGUAACAGAUCCCUAGAAACUGGAGUCAUAGAUGUUUGGGAGCCACCAUGUGGGUGCUGGGAAUUGAACCCAGAUCUUCUGGAAGAGCAGCCAGUGCUCUUAACCAGUGAACCAUUUCUUCAGCCCCAUUCAUGAUUCUUCCAGACAUAGGCCAUGCGUAUGGGGAGAUGGCUCAGUUCGUAAAAUGCUUCUGUACAAGCAUGAAGACCCGAGUUUGAUUCCCCAGAACAUAGGUGAGAAAGCUAGACAUCGUGGCACACCUUAUAAUCCCAGCUCUUCAGAGGGAUUAUAAGGGAUUAUAAGGGAUUAUUGUGAGCAGGGACACAAAUUCCUGGGACACAAUGGCAGGCCAGCCUAUGCUACCAAGUCCAGGAUAGAGAGAGAUCCUACCUCAAAACCUAACGUGGCUGGGUGUGGUUGCACACAUCUUUAAUCUUAGCACUUGGGAGUCAGAGACAGGUAUAUCUCAAUCAUAUUGAUGUGACCCUGGUCUACAUAGUGAGUUCCAGGCUAGCUGCCAGAGAUAGAUAGUUAAGACCUUGUCUCAAAAAUAAAAACAUGCCAGGUGGUGGUAGUACAAGCCUUUAAUCCCAGCACUUGGGAGGCAGAGGCAGGUAGAUUUCUGUGAGUUCGAGGCCAGCUUGGUCUAUAGAGAUAGUUCAGGACAGCCAGGGCUACACAAAGAAACCCUGUCUUUUGAAAAACAAACAAACAAACAAAAACAC